CAACGGUGAAACUCAAAGGAAUUGACGGGGGCCCGCACAAGCGGAGGAACAUGUGGUUUAAUUCGAUGAUACGCGAGGAACCUUACCCGGGUUUGAACGCAUUCGGACCGAGGUGGAAACACCUUUUCUAGCAAUAGCCGUUUGCGAGGUGCUGCAUGGUUGUCGUCAGCUCGUGCCGUGAGGUGUCGGCUUAAGUGCCAUAACGAGCGCAACCCUUGCCACUAGUUACUAACAGGUAAAGCUGAGGACUCUGGUGGGACUGCCAGCGUAAGCUGCGAGGAAGGCGGGGAUGACGUCAAAUCAGCACGGCCCUUACACCCGGGGCGACACACGUGUUACAAUGGCGUGGACAAAGGGAUGCCACCUGGCGACAGGGAGCGAAUCCCCAAACCACGUCUCAGUUCGGAUCGGAGUCUGCAACCCGACUCCGUGAAGCUGGAUUCGCUAGUAAUCGCGCAUCAGCCAUGGCGCGGUGAAUACGUUCCCGGGCCUUGUACACACCGCCCGUCAAGCCAUGGGAG
rnacentral:rRNA from 1 species